GCCAACGCCCCAGUUAUUUAGCAUCCUUCAGAGAUGAUAAGAUACUCAGGAGAAGGUAUUCAGGACCCACACUUUGUGUCCUGCUACAAGAGAUGGCCAGAGACGGAGUACACUAUAGAGCGCCAAGGAAAUAAGAUACUUCUCAAAUCUCAUCAUCAGGCGGCUGAAGAUGACCACAGCCCUAUCAGUGUGCAGAUGGAACGGCAGAUUUUCAACACCGUGUUUGCUGUUGGAGCCCUGAGCCACAAUGAAAAGUGGACUAUCUGGCCAGAGAGACUCUUGGAGAGAGAACGAUGCCGAGUCAGCCCUAGCUGUGACAGUCAGACUCUUGGAGGAGCCCCACAUGGGAGUCAAGAAGCACUCCUUAAGUUCAGCCCCUGUCCAGCCACAAGGUCUACCCACAGAAGCAUAAAAACAAUAAAAUGUUGUUUUAAGCUACAAAGUUUGAGUAAAUGGUGUGUCAAACAGUACUAGAUAACUGAAACAACCAUGAGUGUAUCUGUGUGUGACAUCCACUGAAAUUCUCCAACUUUGCUCUUGUAUUUUUGUUUUUAUUUUUUUAAUUAUAGGAUAUUUAAUAAGUAAGACAGAGUAAAUAAACUUUACUUGUACAUUUUAGCAUAAUUAACAAAGAAUUACAAAGCAAAACCUAUGUAAUCGCUACCUAGGUCAAGAAACAGAACACUGCUAGCACCCAAACCCAUCCCACCUCCUCUUUGCGCAUCACAACUGGCCCCCCAUUGGUAAACAUUGACUUGUUUUUUGUGACAUGAAUUGCUUAGCUUUUCCUUAUAGUUUUGCCACUAAAGUAUACAUUCUUAAACAUUAUGGUUCAUGCUUGUAUCAAACUUUCUGUGAACGGAGUCAGUGUGUAUGCAUUCUUUUAAGACUUGCUUCAUUUGCUGAACUUAUGUCUGUGAUACUCAUCCACGUUGUUGCACAUAGCUGUAGUUCAUUCAUUUUCACUGCUUCGUAGGCAUCCAUCAUGGGAACAUAAUACAGGUUAUGUAUCCAUUCCACUCUAAAUGGAC
rnacentral:lncRNA from 1 species